CCCGAAACGCCCGUGGCCAGGGUCACGCGGGCCCUUUCCACGAAACUAUCCACUUAAAAAGGACCGACGACACAUUGAUGUACCCGACAAUGCCGCGGCUCUCGCGACAUUGUUUACGAUUCGGCCGAUAUCUUAGGCCUUUUGUCCACGAUACUACAUAUAUAUAUAUAAAUGUACGGACAUCAACGUCCGAGACGUUCGUCCAUGCCAAACGGUAACGCGUACAGGAAACAUUUGUUCAAAAUGACUUUGAC
rnacentral:misc_RNA from 1 species